rnacentral:rRNA from 1 species
UACAGAGGUCUCAAGCGUUGUUCGGAUUCAUUGGGCGUAAAGGGUGCGUAGGCGGCGCGGUAAGUCGGGUGUGAAAUCUCGGGGCUUAACUCCGAAACUGCAUUCGAUACUGCCGUGCUUGAGGACUGGAGAGGAGACUGGAAUUUACGGUGUAGCGGUGAAAUGCGUAGAUAUCAAGAGGAACACCUGAGGUGAAGACGGGUUGCUGGGCUGACACUGACGCUGAGGCGCGAAAGCCAGGGGAGCAAACGGG